CUACGGGAGGCAGCAGUGGGGAAUAUUGGACAAUGGGCGAAAGCCUGAUCCAGCCAUGCCGCGUGAGUGAUGACGGCCCUAGGGUUGUAAAGCUCUUUCGCCAGGGACGAUAAUGACGGUACCUGGAUAAGAAGCCCCGGCUAACUUCGUGCCAGCAGCCGCGGUAAUACGAAGGGGGCUAGCGUUGUUCGGAAUCACUGGGCGUAAAGCGCACGUAGGCGGGCAAUUAAGUCAGGGGUGAAAGCCUUGAGCUCAACUCAAGAACUGCCUUUGAUACUGGUUGCCUGGAGUCCGGGAGAGGUGAGUGGAACUCCGAGUGUAGAGGUGAAAUUCGUAGAUAUUCGGAAGAACACCAGUGGCGAAGGCGGCUCACUGGUCCGGUACUGACGCUGAGGUGCGAAAGCGUGGGGAGCAAACAGGAUUAGAUACCCCUGUAGUCC
rnacentral:rRNA from 1 species